rnacentral:misc_RNA from 1 species
AUGGAGACCACACCGAGCAAUCCUGAAAUUAACAUUGGAGAAGAAACGGUUUCCAAUUAUAUGAAGCGAAAAAUUAGCAUUAAUAUUGUUUUGUAGAUGAAAAUAUGACAAUUUCUUUUUAUGCACAGUAGCAAAUAAGUGAAAUCAAAUAGAUCUCAAGAGGGAUGGGGUUUAUAGAGGAGGCACCAUACAGAGUUUCCCCUGUAGAUGUUUAGAAGCAUAGUCUCAAAACAUGCAGCUAAAAUUAUUCCAAUUCAUAGGUGCCCAAAAGGAUGCUCCAUGUUUGUGGUGGAAAAAGGCCAAUCAUCACUUUCUGUCUCCGUUUUGUUUCCCACAUAUUCCAUGUGGAUCCCAUGAUGACUUUCCACAUGGAAUAUGAUAAAUUCCAGCAGUUUAAUCCAAUUCACAGAAAAAAUUUUGCAAUCCACAAGACUGAUCAACAUGUUUGUUUCAAGCAAAUCAAAAGUUGAUUUCAAUUUCCAAAUAUAAUAUAUUUUUACUUUUUGCAACUCAAACAUUUAUAAUGAAAAUAAAACACAGAACUCUGUUCAGCAGAAGCUAAGCUAAGUUUCUGGUUUGCAAGGGAUAGGUUGAACAUAUAAAUGAGAUCUUAUCACUUAAUUAUCAAAUUUAAGGUGGAAGUAGAAAUAUAGUAGAACGGAUUCAGGUAUGACAAGCUAUAAUGCAUCAAUUACUAGCUAAAAUAAAAGAAGGCCAUCUGUAGCACCAGAAAAUGAGAUCAAUAGGAUACUAAAAUGAGAAGGAGUGAGCAAUCAAGCAGAAAUAUAGAUAAGCUAUAUAAAAUGCAUAAUUUACCAGCUAAAAUGAAAUAUGGCCUCCUGCGGUACCCCAAGACAGGAAGAACGUCGGUAAGCAGGCCCCAUAGAGGCUUGACAAGCCAAGGAAUUGAAAUAAUUCCUUGAUAAAUUUGUGACUCCGAAGGCUGCACCUUUUGAACAUCUUUCAUGUAAUACUCAGUGCCAACGCGACUAAAAGCUCCUCCCAGUCCCUGGCUUAUUCCAUAGACAGUCAACACACCAAACACAAAACUCGAAUGUGUCUCACUGGCAAGCAUUUUGAACCAAUAAAUUGGAGUAGAAAAAAAGUCACAGAACCCUCCUUGUCUGGGUUCAUCUUCCUCCAAAGCCUCCUCACCACAAGAGGAUUCCAGAUUCUCAUCCUCUACCAUAACUAACAACCACCCAGUUCACAAAAUCAAAUCUUUUCUUAACUUUUCACCUUGCAAUCAACUGGGAUUCCUGAAAAAGAAACUAAGAUCUCGAAAGUUGAACGCAACAACACGCUUCUACAAAUCAGCCUUUCCCUGGACAGCUGCUUUGAAAUUUUCCCAAGUCCCCAUCAAGAAUUGAAAUUUGGCUAUAUAAAAGGCAAACGCUCACCCACUUCACAAACCCGUCUUCUCUGAUCUGGACUUCUUUAAACUCCAUAAAAAAAA